rnacentral:rRNA from 1 species
GACAGAGGGUGCAAACGUUGUUCGGAAUUACUGGGCGUAAAGCGCGUGUAGGCGGCCACGUAAGUCGGAUGUGAAAGCCCCGGGCUCAACCCGGGAAGUGCACUCGAUACUGCGUGGCUUGAGUACUGGAGAGGUUGGUGGAAUUCUCGGUGUAGAGGUGAAAUUCGUAGAUAUCGAGAGGAACACCGGUGGCGAAGGCGGCCAACUGGACAGAUACUGACGCUGAGACACGAAAGCGUGGGGAGCAAACAGG